ensembl:snRNA U2 U2 spliceosomal RNA
AUCGCUUCUCGGCGUUUUGGCUAAGAUCAAGUGUAGUACCUGUUUUUAUCAGUUUAAUAUCUGCAUACGUCCUCUAUCCGAGGACAAUAUAUUAAAUGGAUUUUUGGAGCAGGGAGAUGGAAUAGGAGCUUGCUCCGUCCACUCCACGCAUCGACCUGGUAUUGCAGUACCUCCAGGAACGGUGCACCACCU